rnacentral:rRNA from 1 species
CCUACGGGAGGCAGCAGUGGGGAAUUUUGGACAAUGGGGGCAACCCUGAUCCAGCAAUGCCGCGUGAGUGAAGAAGGCCUUCGGGUUGUAAAGCUCUUUUGUCAGGGAAGAAACAGCAGCUCUAACACAGCUGUGAAUGACGGUACCUGAAGAAUAAGCACCGGCUAACUACGUGCCAGCAGCCGCGGUAAUACGUAGGGUGCAAGCGUUAAUCGGAAUUACUGGGCGUAAAGCGUGCGCAGGCGGUUAUAUAAGACAGGUGUGAAAUCCCCGGGCUUAACCUGGGAAUUGCAUCUGUGACUGUAUAGCUAGAGUGUGUCAGGGGGGGGUAGAAUUCCACGUGUAGCAGUGAAAUGCGUAGAUAUGUGGAGGAAUACCAAUGGCGAAGGCAGCCCCCUGGGAUAACACUGACGCUCAUGCACGAAAGCGUGGGGAGCAAACAGGAUUAGAUACCCUGGUAGUCCACGCCCUAAACGAUGCUGACUAGUUGUUCGAGUUAUUCUCUGAGUACGUANACUACGNGUAGAGUNCGCCGCGGUGGGACGUCGGUCGACGAGUAAUUAAAACGUUAAAGGUAGUUAGGACCGGUACGUAGAGACGACGACGACGGACGACGACGGAGGGAGGAGG